UACGAGCGGCCCAAACGUUAUUCGGAAUUACUGGGCUUAAAGAGUCCGUAGGCGGCGCGGAAAGUGGGGUGUGAAAGCCCUGGGCUCAACCCAGGAAGUGCGCGAGAUACUGCCGUGCUUGAGUGAUGGAGAGGAUGGCGGAAUUCCCGGUGUAGAGGUGAAAUUCGUAGAUAUCCUAAGGAACACCGGUGGCGAAAGCGGCUCACUGGAUCUUUUCUGACGCUGAGGCACGAAAGCUAGGGUAGCGAACGGG
rnacentral:rRNA from 1 species